rnacentral:rRNA from 1 species
UACGGGGGGGGGCAAGCGUUGUUCGGAAUUACUGGGCGUAAAGGGCGCGUAGGCGGCCUUCUCAGUCAGACGUGAAAUCCCCGGGCUUAACUCGGGAACUGCGUCUGAUACUGGAAGGCUGGAGUUCGGGAGAGGGAUGUGGAAUUCCAGGUGUAGCGGUGAAAUGCGUAGAUAUCUGGAGGAACACCGGUGGCGAAGGCGGCAUCCUGGACCAAUAUUGACGCUGAGGAGCGAAAGCCAGGGGAGCAAACGGG